AUGCUCCUCCCGUGGGAUCCAUGGCACGGGUUAACACGCAGCAGCUGAUCUGUGACGAGCAAGGCAGGGAAGAGGUGUUCCUUCUCAUGGUCUGCCGCGCAACUCGCCUUCCAUGACGUCCUUGGAGAUGUAUGCGACUUAUUUAGUACCUACAAAAAUUCACGGGGCCGUGAAGAUCAGAAGCUACAACCGUACCACCAUGGCGGUGGUGGCUAUGGAACCUUGGAGGAGUUGCUUAAGUUAUCAUGUGGGCACAACUAGGAAUAAACAAGAAGCUGAAAUGCGUGUACACAGAAUUGCAAUCUGAAGGAGCGAUGGAAGUGAAGAUUGAG